GACGAACGCUGGCGGCGUGCUUAACACAUGCAAGUCGAACGGAAAGGCCCUGCUUUUGUGGGGUGCCCGAGUGGCGAACGGGUGAGUAACACGUGAGUAACCUGCCUUCGACUUUGGGAUAACUUCCGGAAACUGGGGCUAAUACCGGAUAGGUGCUCCUGCUGCAUGGCGGGGGUUGGAAAGUUUCGGCGGUUGGGGAUGGUCUCGCGGCUUAUCAGCUUGUUGGUGGGGUAGUGGCUUACCAAGGCUUUGACGGGUAGCCGGCCUGAGAGGGUGACCGGCCACAUUGGGACUGAGAUACGGCCCAGACUGCUACUGGAGGAAGCAGUGGGAGAUAGUGCACGAUGGGCGGAAGCCUUGUGCAGCGACGCCGCGUGCGGGAUGACGGCCUUCGGGUUGUAAACCGCUUUCGCCUGUGACGAAGCGUGAGUGACGGUAAUGGGUAAAGAAGCACCGGCUAACUACGUG
rnacentral:rRNA from 1 species